rnacentral:piRNA from 1 species
UCACAGGAUGUCUCUGGAUGGUAGAGGC